rnacentral:rRNA from 1 species
CUUGGUCAUUUAGAGGAAGUAAAAGUCGUAACAAGGUUUCCGUAGGUGAACCUGCGGAAGGAUCAUUCACAAUGAGUGUUUUAUGGCACUCUUUAAAAAUCCAUAUCCACCUUGUGUGCAAUGUUUGUUGGGAGAGAGGCAACUCUUUCCCUUCACAAAUAUCAACCUAUAUCUUUAACAACAUUCGUUUGAUAACAUAUUAUGAAUAUACUUAAUUCAAAAUAUAACUUUCAACAACGGAUCUCUUGGCUCUCGCAUCGAUGAGGAACGCAGCGAAAUGCGAUACGUAAUGUGAAUUGCAGAAUUCAGUGAAUCAUCGAAUCUUUGAACGCAUAUUGCGCUCUUUGGUAUUCCGAAGAGCAUGCUUGUUUGAGUAUCAGUAAACACCUCAACCUCCUCUUGUUUUUUCAAAAGGAGGGUGGACUUGAGCUAUCCCAACAACCUUCACCGGUAGGCGGGCGGCUUGAAAUGCAGGUGCAGCUGGACUUUUAUCUGAGCUAAAAGCAUAUCUAUUUAGUCCUCGUCAAACAGGAUUAUUACUAUUGCUGCAGCUAACAUAAAGGAUAAUUGUCCUCAUUGCUGACUGAUGCAGGAUUUUACGACACUUUAUGUGUUGUUCAACUCGAUCUCAAAUCAAGUAAGACUACCCGCUGAACUUAAGCAUAUCAAUAAGCGGAGGA